UUGUGGAUAGGAUGGUCUGGCCUAUUGCUCUUUCCUUGUGCUUAUUUCGCUUUAGGGGGUUGGUUUACAGAGACAACUUUUAUAACUUCUUGGUAUACCCAUGGAUUGGCUAGUUUCUAUUUGGAAGGUUGUAAUUUCUUAACCGCAACAGUUUCUACCCCUGCCAAUAGUUUAGCAACUCUUUGUUGCUACUAUGGGGGCCCGAAGCACAAGGAGAUUUUAGUCGUUGGUGUCAAUUAG
rnacentral:rRNA from 1 species